UCUCAUGAAUGAGCAAAGAAAGUGGUUUCUUAAGAUGGAAUCUUCUCCUGGUGGAGGUGCUGUAAA
rnacentral:pre_miRNA from 1 species